rnacentral:rRNA from 1 species
UACGUAGGGUGCAAGCGUUGUCCGGAAUUAUUGGGCGUAAAGAGCUCGUAGGCGGUCUGUCGCGUCGGCUGUGAAAACCCGAGGCUCAACCUCGGGCCUGCAGUCGAUACGGGCAGACUAGAGUGUGGUAGGGGAGACUGGAAUUCCUGGUGUAGCGGUGAAAUGCGCAGAUAUCAGGAGGAACACCGGCGGCGAAGGCGGGUCUCUGGGCCAUAACUGACGCUGGAGGAGCGAAAGCGUGGGGAGCGAACAGG